rnacentral:tRNA from 1 species
UUUAAAAUCUAAAAAUGAUAUAAAUAUCUUAUAUUA